UAGGUAUAUGUUACUUAUAUUUUUUGUUUUUACUUAUAAUUGUGUCAUCAUUGUAUAUUCGUAAAUUCUUUCCUACAGUAACCCUCCUAACACUGUUGAUAACACACUCAUGUUUGUACAUUAGGCAGCUACCUGACAGUCGGUUAGCUUAGCUUAGCUUAGCUUAAAGAUAGGAAAGAAGAGGGAAACGACUCACCUGGAUUGACUCUAAAGGUAAACAAAUAAAUAAAUAAGACUCCCGCACCUUUUAAGCUUUAUGUGCCGUUUGUUUAACUAGUACCAAACAAAACUGUAAGAAAAAAAACCCAAACAAACAGACAGACAAACAUAAAUUUGAUGUUGUACUUGAAGUUUUGUGACGGACUACUUUUUUGCCACGACUUCCUGGUAUCCCUGCUGGUUGGGUCCGUGUACAUUUUGGCAAUUGGAUUUUCCGUUCUGAAACGGGUAUUGAAAAACAAAAAACAAGUGGUUAUUUGAUUUUCGUUUUAAAAUACAAAAAAUAAAAUUGAAAUAUAAUGCGUUUUUCCUUUUCAUGAUCAAAAAGGGAUACACGAAAUUUUAAAAAUGCUUUGAUUUUCAUUUUAUAUUUAGAAUAACAAAAACGUAAAAUCAGUAAGAGACAGAAUCGAAAAAAGGUCCGUUUUUUUCAUUUUAUGAGACCGGAAGUGGUCAUCAGCAAGUGUGGAGCCAAACAGAGUACGGUGCAUAGACUGUAUAUAAUUUUUUUUCGUUAGUUUUCAUGGUCAAACUGACACAUCAGGUGGCUGAUCUUAAAAUAAAUAAAUAUUGAAUUUUUUAUAGCGCGUUAAAGUUUUGCGAAGCCAGGGGGCGGGGUUACUUGAUUGACAGUCCGGUCUGGAAUGAUUGACAGGUCCUAUGGAGGAGGAAGCAGAGACUCUGUUCUCCUCAUUUGGAUUAAUUCUGAUAUAAUAACUGUUGGUUUAUUUAUCGGUGGAGCAGCAGAACCUUUUCCACAGACAGUUUUCCUGCCCGUUGGCUUGUGUUGACCAGUUUUCUGCCUUCAGCUGAUUCUACCAGCAGACACUGAAAGGUCUUGUUCGGUGUCUCAUAUUCACUGUGAGGAUCUUCUGAUUGAAGCCAACAGAAGAAAAACCUCAUCUGGUUGUGAAGAAGGAGACUGAAUGGAUGACAUCCUCAGUGAACCAUUUCCUGUUUAACUUUCACUUACAGAAGGACAGAAACAAGACAAGUUGUAUUAUGAAGAGAGGAGCUGAAUCUGCAGCAUUAUUAUUAUUACUGGAAGGAUGAGGAGGACAUCAGUGCUGCUCUUCCUCACAGUGAUGAAGGAGAGAAGAUUCUUCAGACAACCACAGCUGGAUGUUCAUGUUCUCUGUAGCUCUCAGUCCAUCAGACCAGAUGUUCCCAAUGAUCCAGACCAAGGCUAGAAGGAAAAUACACUAACAAAGCCGGAAGGGGGAGCUCUCCACCGCUAUGCUUCAUUCGGACUGGAGCUGCCGAGGAAGCAUUGCAUAUCGUGAGCGUGCGCUUUUUGAUCCUCUUCUUCAGAGUGAAAGUAGCAGUUCCUCCUUAAGGUCACAGAUUGCAGCAUCUGAGGGCCUCUUCAAAAGAAGACGUAGUUGAUGAAGGCGUUCUGGAGCAGGACCAGAAAGACCACGACCAAGCAGCCUCGAGAUCUUAGGCAGCGUCUCCCUCGGACCAAAGAACUACAGACUCUUGGUACAGGACCUCACUACACGGGUCAAGAAGGUUUCCAUCUCAUUUCUACUCUGAAGCUCACCUUCUCCUGCUCAAACUGCUGACAAAUGUUUCUGCUGCUCUAAAGUCUGGUCUCCAGAACUCCCUAAAAACUCUCAAAGUCUCUUCUGCUGCAGGUUGCUUUGUAGAACUGUUCCAGAAAACCUCACUAAAGCACACGGAGGGGCCUCAAGAUAGUCGUCCAAAUGACACCAUACAAAAACCAAACUAGCACAACCCAAACGCUAAAGUCUCCUGCAGCCUACCAGAGAACCUCUGAGAACAGAGAAUCAGGACAGGAACUCUUACCUUCUGGACAACCAACGUUGGUUCUCAAACAAGAAUACAGAAUGUGUCUGACCAGAAACCUCUGAAGACUCACUACAGCCAAGAUAAAGACACAGCUGCACCAAAUCCACUAAUCACUGCAGACAUUAGCACCAUGUGCUAACUGUGGCUAAAGAACCACAUUUACCAAGACAACUAUCCAGUACAAAGCCCUAAAACACACCAAGAAACACAUUAAAGACAAUUUUACUGCUGGAAGCUGCAAGCCAACGCCUAAAAAACAAACUAAAGCAAUGGAGCCAAACCCGAUUCAGUGGUGAAGAGAAACAGAGGAAAUGUUUGCCUGCAGCCACAUAAAGCAGGAAGACACUGAGCUGCUCAGGUGUUCCUGAUAACACCAAGCUGCUCAGGUGUUCCUGAUAACACCAAGCAGCCACCUGGACAGCCAAUAGGAACACAGCUUACUGGAAGUCCAGAGGGCUGGGUUAGUGAAGGAAAUUUAGUUUAAAGUUGAAGCAGAAAGUUAACAAAGUUGAAAACCACCUUCUGAUACCUGAAAUCUCUGAGUUUUCACACAAAGAACGCCUGAACAUGUCAAACUGGUUCCAUAGUAGAACCAUCAUUAUAAAAACGUCAUAUUAUGGUGUGUUGCUCAAACAACAUUAGGACCCGGCUGUCUAGGGUCGCUGAGCAGCAACACAAAAACAGGAAAAACGCUGGUUUCCAGGGGGUUAGGCGGGUAUUUAUUUGAAAGAGUAAGUUUACAAGAACACAACAUAUGAACAGAAAAAUCACAAACUCUGUCUUUAGUUCAGCUGAAAAUAUUAGUUUUUGUCUUUUUUAUUGACCAAACUUUUCAGGAAGUAGAUGAAGAAUAAUUAAAGCUCUCAUGUAGAAGUCCAACUUAUUUUGGAUCCUUGUGGAGAGUUUAAUCUUAGAGUUUGUAAAGCUGUUGAGUUUUUAGAGUCACAUGGAUUGUUUUGACAUUUAAUAACCGAGUCCUGAAAUAAAAUUACAGUUGUGGAUUUCUGUCAUUUAGUCUGGACUAAACAAAUAACAGCAGCAUAAAUCUCAAACGUCAUUAUGAGGAGUCUGGAUUGAGGUUUCUCACAUGAUAAUGAUCAAAACAUGAAAUUUAGGUUGGUUUAAAGGAAUAUUCCACCUUAAAUCUUUGACUGUUGACCUAAAAGGUUGGUUUCAGGAAGUAUUCCACCUACAAGGUCCUCAAACAUCCACCUUAAAGGAACAUUCCACCAAAAAUCCUUAGACAUGAACCUAAAAUGUUGGUUUAACCGAGUAUUCCAUCCAAAAUCCUCAAAGAGACCUGAGGGGCUGGUUAAAAGGAAUAUUCCACCUAAAACCUCAAAUAUAGACCUGAAAGGGUGGUUUAGAAAAAAAUGGUAGCAGUGGUGCAAUGGUUAAGUCUCUGGACUGCUGAUCAGAAGGUCAGUGGGUCAAACCUUGAUGUAGCCACCAUUGGACCCUUAAAAAAAAAAAAAAAAAAAAAACGUGGUUUAUUGUUUUUUUUAGAUUUUAUUUUGAAACGGAAAAACGAAUGAGCGAACCAUACAUGGAUUCAAAAUAUACACGGACCUGGUUGCCUGGCAACUGCGCAGCGCUAAGAACAGUCCUGAUUAAAAAAACAAGUUGUAACGAAUGAACUGAGCUUUUAGAGGUGUUUUUGAGUAGAUUUUGUCACCUUUGAACAGUGAACAUUUGGGAGUGAAACUUGUUUGCGGUCUUAGUUAAACCCUCUUCCAGGGAGCAAAUGUGUCCUUCAGCUUUUUUUCUACAGGUUUCAAAGAAAUGUUGGGCUGAAGUUUCAAGAGUCAGCAAACCUUUACAAUUCAGAAAUGUAAAUCCCACAUUAGUAUCAUAUUAUACAUAAGACAGGCUGCACCAACAAAUAUUAUUUAAUGACAUUAUUGCUAGUUUUACAUGGUUGAAAAUGAGUAAAGUAAUAUUAAAAAUUAAGUAGCUUUGCACACCAAGAAAGUCAAUCCAAGUUUAUUGAUGUAGAUUUGUUUCUGAGUUUCAUCAGUAAGGAGAUGCUUAAAUUAAGACAAAUUACUAAAAAAUAAAAAUGUGUACCAUUUACCCCCAGUGACUAUAAAAGAAGACGAGACACCAUUAACUUUCAGCACCCAUUGCAGAGACAGUGGAGAGAGUUUAUCAGACAGUGGAGAUGUGCAGGUCAGACGCAUAGACUGUAUAAUAAAGUUAUAGAGUCUUUGGUCAGAUGAGCAACAAGUGUCCAACCUCUGGAAACAUCCAGUCACAUAAAAUCUCUUUUCCAACUUUCCUGUUCAGCUUCCCGACAGUUUCCUUGUAGAACCGGUAUUUUCAGCAGCAUCAUAAAACUCAUCUGGGUUGAGUCUGUGCUUUAACUUUCUUAAUGGAACUUAAUUAGUUUCCUCAACUGAUCACAAAGAGGCAGCUGUUUGAAAAGGUAAAUCUCCUCCAAAGUAUGCUUAAAGUUCACACUGAAUCAUUUUAAUUAGAGUUUGGAAGCAACAGAAUAAAAUGUAUCAAGGUUCAGAGUGAAAACUAAACUGAGGUUUAAAUGGAAUCUCUUCAUUUUUAACUAGUUCUAAAGUUUGAAGCAAUGUAACUGAAUUUAAAGUGCAGCCCAGGAUUAAUGUUUAAUAGGACUCCUGUGCCCAUGAAGUGAGCUUAGUCAUCAGGUAUCACAUCUGCAAAAAAGCAAAAUACAAGCCCCAUUUCCCCAACACUGCUACACAUGUUGUAACUAGUGAAAUCUUUUUUUCAAAAUUAUACGACUACAUGAAUAAUAGGAGUCCUCUUAUACAGCCUUUGUUGUCACAGUGCCAGAGAUUUCAGAGAAGGAACAACACUUUGUUCUGGAGGAACGUGCACGGCUUCCACCGACUUGAAAACAAACACGUUUUCACACAUGAAUCCAUGUGUGUCGGGUUUGUUGAUUUCUUGAAGAAUGAGGUCGUGCAUCAAAUUCUGUUGACUAUAAAUUUGAUAUUUAAGCAUUAUUUUACACUUGUUUCGGGGGCCUAAUGAAAGUUUUGCUUUUUUUAUAUUCUAAAAUUUAAUGUAGUAUUUUUUUAAGGUAACAUAAAGCAGCACUGUUUUGGCUUUUAGGGCAAAUUAUUUGAAAACUUGAGCAUGUUCAUGAGAAGAAAGAAAGGAACAGAAACCCCCCAGAAGGUGAGAUGUAAAAGCCUGAUUUUUAGAUUAAUCAGAAAGACAUGUCUUUUUUUUAUACAUUCCUUAAAUGACAGAUGUUAGAACCCAGACACUAUUUUAUUUACUACAGAGGCAUUCAUUUCUCUCUACAAAACACAGCAAUAACAAACCAUCACAUGCUGAAAUCAUACCAAAGAAAUGAUGAGUUCUGUUUUUAGAACAUUUUUUGAACUGAGCCAUGUUGGUUUUUUAAAAAGCUGACUUUUCAAAUUGAGACAGAUGGUUACAAAUGUUGGCAUUGCUUUUUUGUUUGUUUUUUUAAUUUAGCCUUUAUUUAUACAUGUAAUCUCACUGAGACACUGGGUCUCAUUCUCAAGAGAGACCUGUGUAAUUGUAAUUUUUACACCUGAAAUCAUGAUUAUGAUUAAUAUCAACUUUAGAAUUCUUUUUUUAAAAUCUAAUCAAAUGCAACUAUGGCAUCUCAAAAACGUGCUGACAGUGCACUUUGCUGCCGGAGUUAAAAUAAAAAUUCUGUAAAAAUGUGGUCUCAAAAUAAAAACUGAGAAACGCAGAAACUCUGCAGACACUUCAGACAUGAACUGUGAUGCUCUGUGAAAAUGUAAGGCUGUUCCGGUGGACUGAUUUCUAUAAAAAACGUGUAGAUUUAAAGCAGAUUUCCUUACGUCUGUAUGAUUUGCAAACUGUCCCUAUUGGAUCAGUGUUACGAGAACAAAGGUUUCAUCUUAUGUUUUGCUUUAUGGACAUGUUUAGCCUUGAAAAAAAAUCAGUGUCAAUUAAAGACGAAAGUAAAAAGUAACAGAAGUUUUACUUGAAACUCAAAACAAAACUGGAGUUUGGAUAAAAUGCCUCUUCUGUUUUGUGUAACUGAAUGAGUCCGAUCAGUCGGCCGCUCGCCAUGAGAAAGUAAACAAAAAGCCAGAGACAGAAUUAAAGAAGCUGUGACUAAACUAAAGAGCUGAUUUACUCUCCAGUCACAUAAAACACCCAACAAAAGACAGAUCACCCAGUGAGCAGAAGGAAGACUACCAAUGCUGGCAGGCAAAGAGUGUCCUGUUUCUUCCAUUCAGUGAAUAAAAUCAAUGAGACAUUUAAUCAAGGCUCUUUAGUUGGGCUUUAAAAUUACACGGAUGAGAUUCAAAUUGUUCAUAGAAAUGAAAAACACUAAACGCUACUUUUUAAUGAAAGUCAUUUAUUUCUUAAAAGGUAUUGAUUAGUAUGUUUGCUUUUAUUCUUUAGCAAAUUCUUUAAAAAAAAAAAAAAAAAAAAAAUCAAAGUUCUCCACAGGAGACAUAUAGUUUGUUUCUGUGCUCAUUGAUCCCUUACAUUUUCUUGUUGUCAACUUUAAUUUCAAAUGAAUCAUUGCUGGUUCAAAUGAAUGAACUUGCUUAUUAUUUUUUCUGCCUCUUACUAUAAUUCUGCUUUGUCUUUUUUCUUCCCUUGAUUCUGUCCAUCGCUUGCAGCACAUCUGAAUCCAAGGUUGUCAGAGGCAGAGUCGGGAGUGUUGCCCAUCCUGCAGGACACAGAAUCACAUCAAUCAGUCAAUCAAGAAGGUCGUGUCGAAGUUCUGAGUCUGAAAAAAGAAAACGCUUUUCCAGUUACUCACCUGGUUGUGAUUUGAGCCUUGUGAUUGGCUGAUCCGUCCACCGUGUCGAUCCAGGAGGCGCCACGCAGCACAUACAUCGGCCUCGCUCCUGGAAAGGGUGUGGACGUCCACUCCCAUGUGUUUCCCAUCAUAUCAUACAGUCCUGCAAGAACAAUCAACAUGGUGCUUGUAAUAUUAUAAGGAGCAACAAUCAACCUUCAGAAUAUUUCAGUUUUCUUUAACCUCACAGAGACGUGAGAGUUUCUCAAAGCCACAAACUCACAGCAGACAAUCUCAGACUUAAGUUAACAACCUUAAAUGCAUUUUUGUAACAUUUUUUCUUUUUUGUCUAUUCAACUAAAGGUAAUUUGUUUACCAUGUAGUACUUCUAUCAUCUCAUUAAUGUGUUAUUUUUUUUUUACCAUAGCUGUUCUGUGGAGGAAAGGCUGUGACAGGAGCGGUGCCAUGGUAACCAUCCUCUGCAGUGUCUCCAUCUGGAAACAAUCCCUGAAACAUGCAGAAAAACCACCAGCUCAUUAUUACAAAUCAUGUUUUUUCACAUGAACGUGAUUGUUCUUGCAAAAGAAUGAAUGUCUGUCUACAACAUCUAUUAUUAUUCACUGAAAUAAAGAGCAAAGUCAAUA